rnacentral:rRNA from 1 species
CGCGUAGGCGGCUUGAUAAGUAGGGGGUGAAAUCCUGCGGCUUAACCGCAGGGCUGCCUUCUAAACUGUCAGGCUCGAGCACAGUAGAGGCAGGUGGAAUUCCCGGUGUAGCGGUGGAAUGCGUAGAGAUCGGGAAGAACAUCAGUGGCGAAGGCGGCCUGCUGGGCUGUUGCUGACGCUGAGGCGCGACAGCGUGGGGAGCAAACA